rnacentral:rRNA from 1 species
AACGAACGCUGGCGGCAUGCCUAACACAUGCAAGUCGAACGAGACCUUCGGGUCUAGUGGCGCACGGGUGCGUAACGCGUGGGAAUCUGCCCUUGGGUUCGGAAUAACAGCGAGAAAUUGCUGCUAAUACCGGAUGAUGACGUAAGUCCAAAGAUUUAUCGCCCAAGGAUGAGCCCGCGUAGGAUUAGCUAGUUGGUGAGGUAAAGGCUCACCAAGGCGACGAUCCUUAGCUGGUCUGAGAGGAUGAUCAGCCACACUGGGACUGAGACACGGCCCAGACUCCUACGGGAGGCAGCAGUGGGGAAUAUUGGACAAUGGGCGAAAGCCUGAUCCAGCAAUGCCGCGUGAGUGAUGAAGGCCUUAGGGUUGUAAAGGCUCUUUUACCCGGGAUGAUAAUGACAGUACCGGGAGAAUAAGCUCCGGCUAACUCCGUGCCAGCAGCCGCGGUAAU